rnacentral:tRNA from 1 species
GGAGAGGUGCCUGAGUGGUUGAAAGGGCCCGUCUCGAAAACGGGUGUUCCGCAAGGGAUCGCAGGUUCGAAUCCUGUCCUCUCCG